UUACGGCCACAUCAUGUUGAAACAUUGGUUCCUACCGUACGAUCACCGAAGGUAAGCACCAUCGGGCCUGGUCAGUACGUCGAUGGGUAACCGCUUGGGAAUACCAGGUGUUGUAAG